UUACGACCAUACUAUCUUUAAAGGCCGGUUCUCAUACAAUCGCCGAAUUUAAGCAAUGUCAAGCCUGGUCAGUAUCUAGAUGGGUGACCACUUGAGAAUACCAGGUGCUGUAAG